GAGAAAGGUGACAACCGCUCUUAUGAAUAUUUCUAUGAUCAAUUAUCAGUGGUCUCUGUAUCAUUCAGAAAUAUGAAGAGUAGAAUUACUAAGUUUGUUCCAAAAAUGGUGCCGAUUGACUUGUUUAGCAACAUUGGUGGAUUCUUAGGAAUUUGGAUUGGUUCAUCCGUCAUAUCGAUAUCUGAUUUAUUGUAUAGACUAUCUGAUUAUCUACUCAACCGCAUCCCAUAAGGCAUGAACUGAGCAGCAAUAUUUGUAUCAAAAAUGCAAAAAAUGAGCACAAAGUUUUUUUACAACAGCACUUUUCACUUGAUUGAUUUAUUACAAAAACUAUAUAAUUCUUUACCAAAAUACACGCUCUAUCGAAAGCAGAAUGAAACGUAAAGUGAAAAUUUGACAUUAAUUUUACAAUUAAAGUGCCAGACAGGAAGUAUGGAACAAAACUCACAUGUAGCUCUUUCAUUUAUGGAUGAUAUUCAUGCAGCACUUUUAUGUAUUUAUUUUCAGUAUAGAUUCAUUCAUUAUUCUAUUAAAUUUAAUAUUUAUCUGCAUCAGAAAGAAAAAGAGGGGGGGAAACUAGACAUUUAUAACUGCGUAAAAAAUAUUAUAAUUCCGAAUUAAGUAGAACAGCAGUUCCCAAAUAAUAUUUCGCGGAAUCAUAAGGCUCUAUGGAGGAUUUGAAGGGGUUCGAACUGUUAGGGCAUUUCUUCUAUAAGCUAUGAUUUUUGAAACCUGUAAUUAAAUUUAGUUUCUUUUAAUAGCCUCUUAUUUCUUUCAUAUUUUAAUUUUUUUAAACUAUUUAAUUAGCCUGCUUGCAAAGACAGAAAAGUAAAAAUUGAAAAAAAAAUCGCUUGGAGUUUUACUUAGGGAUCGCUUGGAGUUUUAGUUUUACUUAGAGUAAAAAUACAACGAAAAUCAACUAUAAUGUUAUAAAUACUGCCGAAAAAAUGUAAAAACAAAUACUUUAAGUCAAUUUUAUUAUCGAUAAAACAUUUUUAUCAAUUUCAUUAUCGAACUACUUUCAUUAUUGAAUGUUAAUUCAAAUCGCUUACUUGUUACUUCGAAUUAGUGAUUCGAAUCAGUAUUUGAUUCAAAUCAGUGAUACAAAUUAAGAAGUGAUUUAAGUCAUCAAAGUGAACUGAUUUGAUUGAUUCG